rnacentral:rRNA from 1 species
GACGAACGUUGGCGGCGUGUCUAAGGCAUGCAAGUCGUGGGAUCGGAACUGACUUCGGUUAGUUUACGGACCGGCAAACGGGUGAGUAGCACACUAGUAACCUACCUUCGAGUCAAGCAUAGCCCAGAGAAAUCUGGAUUAAUACUUGAUAGUCAUGAGGGGUCAUAUGACAUUCUCAUGUAAAGAUUUAUCGCUCGAAGAGGGGCUUAUGGCCUAUCAGCUUGUUGGUGCGGUAAAAGCGCACCAAGGCUAUGACGGGUAGCAGGCGUGAGAGCGUGACCUGCCUCACUGGGACUGAGACACUGCCCAG